AGAAUCAACGCUGGCGGCGUGCCUAACACAUGCAAGUCGAACGAGAAAGGGGAGCAAUCCCUGAGUAAAGUGGCGACCGGGUGAGUAACACGUGACUAACCUACCCUCGAGUGUGGAAUAACAUCGGGAAACCGAUGCUAAUACCGCAUAAUAUCGCAAGAUCAAAGGAGCAAUCCGCUUGAGGAGGGGGUCGCGGCUGAUUAGCUAGUUGGCGGGUAACGGCCCACCAAGGCGAAGAUCGGUAUCCGGCCUGAGAGGGCGCACGGACACACUGGAACUGAAACACGGUCCAGACUCCUACGGGAGGCAGCAGUGGGGAAUUUUGCGCAAUGGGGGAAACCCUGACGCAGCAACGCCGCGUGGAGGAUGAAGCCCCUUGGGGCGUAAACUCCUUUCGACCAAGACGAUAAUGACGGUACUGGUGGAAGAAGCACCGGCUAACUCUGUGCCAGCAGCCGC
rnacentral:rRNA from 1 species